rnacentral:rRNA from 1 species
AACGAACGCUGGCGGCAUGCCUAACACAUGCAAGUCGAACGAACCCUUCGGGGUUAGUGGCGCACGGGUGCGUAACGCGUGGGAAUCUGCCCUUUGCUUCGGAAUAACAGUUAGAAAUGACUGCUAAUACAGGCUGAUGUCUUCGGACCAAAGAGUUAUAGGCAAAGGAUGAGACCGCGUAGGAUUAGGUAUUUGGGGGGGUAAAGGCGUACCAAGCCGACGAUCCUUAGCUGGGAUGAGAGGAUGAUCAGCCACACGGGGACUGAGACACGGACCAGACUCCUACGGGAGGCAGCGGUGGGGAAUAGUGAACAAUGGACGCAAGUCUGAUCCAGCAAUGCCGCGUGAGUGAGGAAGGCCUUAGGGUUGUAAAGCUCUUUUACCAGGGAUGAUAAUGACAGUACCUGGAGAAUAAGCUCCGGCUAACUCCGUGCCAGCCGCCGCCGUAAAAC